rnacentral:tRNA from 1 species
GGGCGCGUAGCUCAGCUGGUUAGAGCGCCACGUUUACACCGUGGAUGUCUGCGGUUCGAAUCCGUACGCGCCCA